rnacentral:tRNA from 1 species
GCAGCUCAAUGGUAGAGCACUUGCCUAGCAUGUGCAAGGCCCUGGGUUCAAUUCCCAGUGCU